UACGUAGGGCGCAAGCGUUGUCCGGAAUUAUUGGGCGUAAAGAGCUCGUAGGCGGUUUGUCGCGUCUGCUGUGAAAUCCCGAGGCUCAACCUCGGGCUUGCAGUGGGUACGGGCAGACUAGAGUGCGGUAGGGGAGACUGGAAUUCCUGGUGUAGCGGUGGAAUGCGCAGAUAUCAGGAGGAACACCGAUGGCGAAGGCAGGUCUCUGGGCCGCAACUGACGCUGAGGAGCGAAAGCAUGGGGAGCAAACGGG
rnacentral:rRNA from 1 species